rnacentral:misc_RNA from 1 species
UACGUAGGUGGCAAACGUUGUCCGGAAUUAUUGGGCGUAAAGCGCGCGCAGGCGGUUUCUUAAGUCUGAUGUGAAAGCCCACGGCUCAACCGUGGAGGGUCAUUGGAAACUGGGAAGCUUGAGUGCAGGAGAGGAGAGUGGAAUUCCACGUGUAGCGGUGAAAUGCGUAGAUAUGUGGAGGAACACCAGUGGCGAAGGCGACUCUCUGGCCUGUAACUGACGCUGAGGCGCGAAAGCGUGGGGAGCGAACAGG